rnacentral:rRNA from 12 species
CUUGGUGGCUAUAGCGUCUGUGACCCACCCGAUCCCAUCUCGAACUCGGCCGUGAAACCGGACUGCGCCGAUGGUACUAGUGCUUCAAGCACUGGAAGAGUAGGUCGUCGCCAGGC